rnacentral:tRNA from 1 species
GUCCCUGGGGGUGAAAAUGGUUAAAGUGCUCAGCUGCUAACUGAAUGGUUGGAGGUUCAAGUCCACCCAGAGGCA